GGGACGUAGACCCGAAACCUUAGCGAUCUAUCCAUGUGCAGGUUGAAGAGACGGGUAACACCUCUUGGAGGACCGAAUCCACCUUAGUUGAAAAUAAGGGGAAUGACGUGUGGAUAGGAGUGAAAGGCUAAUCAAGCUGGGAGAUAGCUGGUUCUCCUCGAAAUAUAUUGAGGUAUAGCCUCGGACGAAUACCGCCGGAGGUAGAGCACUG
rnacentral:rRNA from 1 species